GCCCUGAACAUUGCUGUAACUCGUCUGAUAGAUGUUCAUACAGAUAUUUUGCCAUUCGACCUCGACUGACUGCGAUUUCUUGGAUCUUAGUUUACCAGUCAGACCACUACACCUUUGCCAGCACCACCACCCAGCAAGCUUCAUCAACUCCAGCCAUGCCGAGUUUACCAGUCAGACCUACACCUCCGUCAAAUUCGCUCACAACGCUGCCA